rnacentral:rRNA from 1 species
UACCAGCUCUCCGAGUGGUGUGGAUGUUUAUUGGGCCUAAAGCAUCCGUAGCUGGCUGGGCAAGUCCCCUGUUAAAUCCACCGAUUUAAUCGUUGGUGUGCGGGGGAUACUGUUCGGCUAGGGGACGGGAGAGGCCGACGGUAUUUUCGGGGUAGGGGUGAAAUCCUAUAAUCCCGGGAAGACCACCAGUGGCGAAGGCUGUCGGCUAGAACGCGCCCGACGGUGAGGGAUGAAAGCUGGGGGAGCGAACCGGAUUAGAUACCCGGGUAGUCCCAGCUGUAAACGAUGCAGGCUAGGUGUUUGGGCGGCCACGUGCCGCUCUAGUGCCGCAGGGAAGUCGUUAAGCCUGCCGCCUGGGGAGUACGGCCGCAAGGCUGAAACUUAAAGGAAUUGGCGGGGGAGCACCACAAGGGGUGAAGCUUGCGGUUU